GCCAGUGUGGCAUAGUGGUUUGAAUGCUGGACUGUGACUCUGAAGACCAGGGUUCAAUACCCCACUUGGCCA